GUAGAAGAGAAGUCAAAAUUAUUUGAGAUUGUGGUUUUUUUUGGGGGUAUUUGGGUGUGGAGCAAUGCAUUCAUUUUCAAAAAGAGGUUGUUUGGAGUUUCUAUAAGCGUUUUUUCAGCUUGAUUGGACAGCAUUACUUUUUUUGGCUUUUAUAUGUUUAUGCUUUAUUAUAGGAUGAUACCUUCUUGGUCCCACUUAAUGGAGAAGCUUUACGGUACUUCUAUAUUAGUGACAUUUUUAUGCUGUGGUCAUGCAUAAGUUAUUCUUACAUUGGUUUUCAUAAUGAAACAGUUUUCCCUAUUCCACUUUGUAUUUGUUCUUAGCCAUGAAGCAGCAAUGUAAACCUCGCUCUCUCUUGCUUGCAGUUUCCAGCAAAUAUCUCUGAAC
rnacentral:misc_RNA from 1 species